rnacentral:rRNA from 1 species
GACGAACGCUGGCGGCGUGCCUAACACAUGCAAGUCGAACGGACAGGCCAUGCUCUUGUGGGGUGCUCGAGAGGCGAACGGGUGAGUAACACGUGAGUAACAUGUCCCUGUCUUUGGGAUAACUCCAGGAAACUGGGGCUAAUACCGGAUAGGAGCUCUUGAUGCAUGGUGGGGGUUGGAAAGAUUCGGCGGUUGGGGCUGGAAUCGCGGCGUAUGAGCUUGUUGGUGGGGUAGUGAAUUACCAAGGUUUUGACGGGUAGCCGGCCUGAGGGGGUGACGGGCAACACGGGAGAGGAGACACCGUGCAGAAUCCUGAGGGAGGCACCAGUCGGGCACCUUCGGCAAUGGGCGGAAGCCUGAAGGGGACACGGCGCGUGAGUGAUGAAGGUCUUCGGCUCGUGAAGCAUGGCUAUUAGGGAAGAACAAAUGUCUAAGGACUGAGGCGAGGCUUGACGGUCGGUAAUGAGAAAGGAACGGCUAACUAAGUG